rnacentral:rRNA from 1 species
AGAGUUUGAUCAUGGCUCAGGACGAACGCUGGCGGCGCGCUUAACACAUGCAAGUCGAGCGAGAACCAGGCCUUCGGGCUUGGGGAAAGCGGCGAACGGGUGAGUAACACGUGGGUAACCCACCCUUGGUACUGGGAUAGCCCGGGGAAACCCGGAUUAAUACCGGAUGGCCCAACAGCUCUUCGGGGCGGUUGGAAAAGGUAGCUUCGGCCUCCGACCAAGGACGGGCCCGCGGCGGAUUAGCUUGUUGGUGGGGUAACGGCCCACCAAGGCGACGAUCCGUAGCUGGUCCGAGAGGACGAUCAGCCACACUGGGACUGAGACACGGCCCAGACUCCUACGGGAGGCAGCAGUGGGGAAUCUUGCGCAAUGGGCGAAAGCCUGACGCAGCGACGCCGCGUGGGGGAAGAAGGCUUUCGGGUUGUAAACCCCUUUCAGGAGGGACGAAGCCACUCGGGUGAAUAGCCCAGAGGGUGACGGUACCUCCAGAAGAAGCCCCGGCUAACUACCGUGCCAGCAGCCGCGGUA